rnacentral:lncRNA from 1 species
GUUCGGUUUCGUAGGGGAACUGCUCUGCUCAGUUAUCAUCGUGUGCUUGGUGAGUCGUCGUCGUCGUUGUUCGUCGUCAAGGUUUAAGAAGAAGUUUAAGAAGUGAGAGAUGGAUUGGUUCUGUGUCGCUGAGGGGAUGACAAAAUCUGCCUCCUUUUUUUUGUGCUUUGCUGCUCCAGAUGGAAAAGAUUGUUAUCAUUAUUAAUCCUUGCAGUACCUGCAGUGCACUGUGUUUAUGAUUUGCUCCAUUUUCUUGCAUGAUGGUUUGUGAGGAUUGGUUUGUGAUGUGCAUGGCGAAAUGCUUGUGGCAGUGGUUAGGCCACUGUGUUUAUGAUUUGCUCCAUUUUCUUGCAUGAUGGUUUGUGAGGAUUGGUUUGUGAUGUGCAUGGCGAAAUGCUUGUGGCAGUGGUUAGAUCACAGUCAGUAACAUAAUCCUCUGUUCUUGUGGUACUGGACUGCUGGUUUGCUGCAGCUGAAUUCAUCUGGCUGGAGCUGGAUGUGAGCGAGAGUGAUGAUGCUGUGCCUUUGCAACAACAACAAGAGGUUGUUUUGUUUUGUUGUGUGGUUACAGUGGUGGAGGAAAAAAAGGUCUUCUGCUCGUGUCGUGCGUGCGGUUUAGCUUUUUGCUGCAUCAUGGAAUCUGGGUGACACGGGUGUCAGUUCGGCCAUGGCCGCCUGCCUGGUGUCAUGUUCUCUUCUGUCUUCUGUCUGGGGGCUUUAGCUUUACUCUCUCUCUGAUAGGCUUUUUACCCUGCUUAGUUAAUCGUUUGGCUUGUUGCCCUGCUUGAUCCAUUGCAUUCCACAUUUCCACGGGCGCCAUGACUCUGUUCUUGGCUUAACUUAAUCCAGUUUGAAUCUUAGGACCAAAUAAAGCCCCACUGCCUAUGGCCAUAUGCAUUUGUCAAAUGGUACCCUUGAGAUGCCUCCUUUGGCAGUGCAGAGCACGAGGAUUAACAAGUGCUGUACUGAUCGAGUUCGUUUCAGGAUUAACAUAUUGCUGGAUGCCGGCUUAGAUGUGUGAUUAUUAUACCUUCGUUGGAGCACCCCUGCUUUUGUCGGGUGGCUACUGGUUGUAGUGGGCGUUCGAUCCGCACUUGAAAAUUGAAGUGGUCUGAUGCCUAUCCAUCCUCUAUGCACAAUGGAUGGUUGAUAAUUGUGCUAAGCCCAUGUCUACGAACCACCGAGUUUAUUCGCAGCUCAUUGUAUCAUGUUGAAUUGAAUGAAUGUCACAUAAGAUUCUUUGUUUUUUUGACAUAUCAAGGAUAGAAUGAGGACUUCAUUCUUCUGCAUUCGUCCGUAUUUUUACAUAAGAUUCUUCUUUGAACCACCGAGUUUUCUUGCACUGCCCAACACUACGUCCUUGUUAGGAUAUCAUUUUUCUUGCACUGUAGGAGGGUGAAAUGUAGUGUCAUCACCAAUCGGUGGUAGAGUUAUUUCCUCACUUUGGCUCUGUUCGCUUCAGCUUAUAAGCCGUCUGAAAAGCUGAAACGGCUGAUUUGUUGUGAGAGGAAAACACUGUUUGGUGGCUGAUAAGGAAAAGCUGAAAUGGCUGAUUUGUUGUGAGACGAAAACACUGUUUGGUGGCUGAUAAGUUGGCUGAAUAAGCUGAAGCGAACAAGCCCUACACGCACGUAGCAUAGCAUUACGUUCCCACUGCUCCGGUACACUUGCAACGCCCCCAAGUGUUUUCCUUCAACUAUACGAUAUUUUCCGUGACGCUAUCAAAGCGGCACCACGAAGGAGGCCGUUGGGGGUUAUGGUUUCAGGGUUAGGUUAGUAGAGUUGUGGAGGGCAUCCUACUUUCUUCCGAAGCAGAAACUACAACCGCGAUAUUUUUAGAUGUCCAUAUUCUGUAUGGGUGUUGCAUUACGUUUCCACUAUUCCAACGCACUCGGUGACAUCUCGAAUUAUUCCUUUCUAGCAUACAAUUCGUCGUGGUGCUGUCCUAAAGUGUUUCCCUCUGGGUGCACAAUUUUGCCGUGCUGUUACCUUGAAGCGUCAGCGCACAAUUUGUCAUGACGAUGUCGAAGCGCCACUACGGGGAAAGAGGAUGCAGGGGUUAGGAUCUUAGGAUCAAAUUACCGAUGUCGAUGAGGUAAAAGGGACGGUAAUAGAGACAUAGGUUUUGGAGUGAGCUAGGUUAGGCCCCGUUGGAUGCAAAAUCAGAUUCUAAGAAUCUGGAUUCUGAGAAUCCAUAAUCUGGCUUCAUAAAAUUCGAGGUAAAAUCUGUCCCGUUUGGAAACCGGCCAAAUUUUGGAUUUUGGAUUCUCAAAAUAUCUGGUCAUCCAAACGGGGUCCUAGUGUGGUCGUAGAUUUUAGGGUAAUUUGGAUAUUACUGUAGCUGAUAAGAGAAAUGAAUAUAUUGAUUAAAUCCGGAUGGAGGGAGGAGUAAUUGGUAAAGGCGGGUUGGUCAGCAGCCUUGCUUGCUAUAAAUGGUGGGUGGUGUGUGGCCGCGGCUGAAGCGUGGCCGUACCCUUUCCCCCUGGCGGGCAAGCAAGCCGUCGGCGCCGAGGCCUGCAGCUGCAGCAGGAGGAGGGGGAGGAGACUGGACCGGAGGGCCGCGUGUCAGGCGGGUCAUGUGCCGCUACCUGAGCCCAACUGCACCGCCGGCUGGUGGCGACACUCGUGCGUCCCGUGGGCCGUCGACUCCUCCGUCCUUCCCUCCCGCGACCUGGCGACGCUGUCCCCCCCCCCCCCCUGCCUCUCUCUCUCUCUGCUGCCUCCGUCGACGCGACGGGCCGGCCGAUCCUAUCCGCUGCCUCUCUGCGCGCCCGUGCUCUUCCUUCCAGAUGUGGGAAAGACAAGGAGAGGGAGGGAGGGAGAGCCUGUACGCGCCAGUAGCCAACGCUCGGCUUUGUUUGACCACUCACUCCCCCGGACACCGGUCACCCAGUGCUCCAACAGUAGCUAGCAAUUAGCAGCACAAGUAAUGGCUGCUUCCUUGUGCUAGCAAUGGGGGUGGCGUCGGUUGCCAAGUGGAUGAUGGACAUGAUUCCUCUACUCAGCUGCAAGAAAAAAGAAAAAGAAAAGUGCACGCAGGGAAAUAUGCUCACCUCGCCUUUUCUUUUCUUUUCUUUUCGUUUCUUUUCAACAACCAGCGCAUCGCAUUCGCAGCUAGCCAGGGGGAGAGAGAUGCACGCGCAUCGAUAUGUCUGGAUGGAUGAUGAAUCUGUGCCCGAUCGAUCGGCGGGCAGGAUUAUAUUCCUCCCAUCCCACACCCUACCAAUUGGUCGAGCUGCCAGAGGGGCCCACAUGUCAGUCACGCACCUACCUGCCGCAGCUGGGUCUCGUCCGACCAUGGUCGUGGGCCACGUACGGCCGGCCCGCCCGCCUUCUCGUCUCGACUGGGCCCCCAACAACGCCCCAACCUCCUCCUCCCUCCUAUCCUCCAAUCCACCACCGUGCUCUCUUCUCAUCUUUCUCCCUCGCUAUCCCCCAAUCCUCGUCGUCAGAGAUGGCGGCGACCACGCUGCUGGCGGGCUCGCCGUGGCUGCGCCUGCGCCUCCGCGCGGACGCGCCCGCGCGCCCCUUCGCCCGCCACAUCCACCUCGGCCGGGCCCUCUCCGCCCGCGCCCGCGUCCGCGCCUCCUCCGCCGCCGCCGACGCUGAGCCCGCCGGCCCCGUCCGCGUCCGCUUCGCGCCUUCGCCCACGGGCAACCUCCACGUCGGCGGCGCCCGCACCGCGCUCUUCAACUACCUCUUCGCGCGCUCCAAGGGCGGACGGUUCGUGCUCCGCGUCGAGGACACCGACCUCGAGCGAUCCACCAGGAAGUCCGAGGAGGCCGUACUCGCCGACCUCGCGUGGCUCGGACUCCAGUGGGACGAAGGUCGACCUCUCUCUCUUCCACCGCGUAUUUCACGGUCCCGGAUCGCUUGUCAUCUUGUUGUUCGGGAGCCUUAGCUUCAUGUGGUUGACGCAUUUCGACCUCGUUCGUAGUCCUGCAAUUGGAGCACUGUCCUUGACUUGAUUACUGCAUCGUAGGUUUAGUUCUGCGCCUGGUGCCGCGAUUCUUAAUGCUGUUAUCAUAACGCCUUCUGCUAGUCACAUCUACUGUGGUGGGUCUAGGAGUCAACCUAAGUCGAAUUCUGUAGGUGCAGAGGGUCAACUUGUUUGGUGAAUUGGUCUCUGCUCGGUGACUCAGAUGCUUUAAGAAACAUUGGUUGCUAAGCAUAUGAUCCAACGUUAGAGAUGUUAAUUCUUUUUUUUGUAAAGCAAUGCUACGCGCACAACGGUAGAGGAAAUGACUUGGCGUAUAUGGUUAGGUCCGGAUGUUGGCGGGGAGUUUGGGCCUUAUCGCCAAUCAGAGCGGAAUUCGCUGUACAAGCAGUAUGCUGAGAAGCUUUUGGACUCUGGUGCGGUUUACCGCUGCUUUUGCUCCAAUGAGGUAUCAUUCUCUUCUUGCAUGACUUGCAUGAUACAUGUCUUAUUAAGCGCUGAUGAUUUCUAUGAUCUCCCUUCCAUGUGCUGUUCGCUCUAUUUGUGAACAAUGAACUUAGUUCUUCUAAAAGAUUUUUGCAAAGCAUUUCAUCCAUUAUGUUCUAGAGAAAGUUCUUAGCGAUCAACUUUAUCAUGAUUCAAACUGGAAUAACUAAACUUGAAGUCAUUGACAUGACUUGCAGUAGUUUCUACUACUCAUAUGUUGUCUGGUUUCAUAAUCGUUAUCAUUACUUCAGGAACUUGAGCAAAUGAAGGAAGUCGCGAAGCAGAGGCAGCUUCCUCCUGUAUACAUGGGCAAGUGGGCAACUGCUUCAGACGUCGAAGUGGAGCAGGAGCUAGAGAAGGGGACACCUUACACUUAUCGGUUCCGUGUGCCAAAGGAAGGGUCAUUGAAAAUUAAUGACCUUAUUCGUGGAGAGGUAAUACUGAAAAUUCCAGAACAUAAGCUUUGGCAGUACCAUGCUAUUGUACUACCUUUAAGGUUGCAUUGAUGAUAAUUGCAUAUUGUUAAAACUCAAAAGUGAUAUACAUGAACUGAUCAACGGAUAGUUUCAUAAAGGUCAGUUGGAACUUAGACACGCUGGGUGAUUUUGUGAUUAUGAGAAGCAAUGGACAACCUGUGUAUAACUUCUGUGUGACGGUUGACGAUGCUACCAUGCAAAUCUCUCAUGUUAUCAGGUAGUAAGGACUAAGGAAAAGCAAUCUUGUUUCAGUCUUUCUUUUGAACGGUCUAGCAGACUAGCACCCUUGUGAUGACUACCAUGUUUUCUUACAGAGCUGAAGAGCAUUUACCAAACACACUGCGGCAAGCUCUGAUUUAUAAAGUAAUUUCCUCUACCUGCUUUUAUCUUGUAUACCAUGAUCUGUAGUAUUGACCCUUUAAAAGCAAUCUCAACAUAAUAUGCCGUUAUGAUCUGCUACAGGCUCUUGGAUUUCCAAUGCCUUCAUUUGCCCAUGUGUCACUUAUUCUCGCUCCUGACAAAAGCAAACUGUCAAAACGUCAUGGAGCUACAUCUGUGGGGCAGGUAACUAACUGAUCAUUUACAAGGCCACUUGUUUAUCUGCAUCAGAUUAUUUGAUUGCGGCAAUGCUCUUAGUGCUCUUCUCUAUUCAUUUGUCUUUAUUGUUGCUGGUUGUAAUUAUUUUCAAAUCUCACAUGUUUCCUAACGUCAUCUCCUUUUAAAUGGUAUAUAAUGAAACACAAAGCUUCUUUUUCUUUGGACAGUAUAAAGAGAUGGGCUAUCUACCUCAGGCAAUGGUAAAUUAUUUAGCACUAUUGGGCUGGGGUGAUGGUACUGAAAAUGAGUUCUUCACUAUUGAUGAUCUAGGUUAGUUCUCAAUAAUUCAUUCUAUCAGUUUUACUCCCCCCCCCCCCCCCCCCCCCCCCCAAAUGGUCAACGAUCACUUGUUUAGUAAUUCAUUCUUAUUAUUUUGGUGCUGUUUUUCAUUUGCAGUUGAAAAAUUCACUAUCAAUCGUGUCAAUAAAAGUGGAGCAGUAUUUGAUGCAACAAAAUUAAAGUAAGCCUAUUUUCCAGUUUCUCUUUGUUAGAGAUUUUGGGGCUGCUUGGUUGCCCGCCUCCGAUUGCCACACCGCACUUUGCGGCUGCCACAAAAAGCUAGGCCAGCACUUGGAUUCUGACAAAGCUGCGGCACGCCACAGCAUUUUAGUUGAUUUGCGGUACAAAUUUUCGCUACAGCUGCGGUGCCGUUUUUGUCCGCCAAAGCUUCAGCACGCCGCAGUUACGGCGUGGCAGACUAUGGCUGGGAAGCAAGCAGCCCCUUUGCAACAGAACUGUCAGGAUGCUAGAAUUGCUUGAUAUAUUCAGUGACACUGAUUUAACCUAGGGGUUUGCUGCCCCUUAAUCUUUGGUAACUUCAAGUCAUAUAAUCAGGUUUUGGUUAUAUGAGAACUAUAAUUAUGAGUUAUGAUGAACUUGCUCGGAGGCUAUUUCAUGGAGUCCUAAAUAAGCUGCCUGAGAGUACCUAUGUCAAAUGAGCUGAACUGGACAGUUGAGCUAAAAAGCCGCUAAAUUCUAGAGUCACUUUCAAGAUAUUGAACCACUUGAUUCAUAAGCUGUCUAAAUAGUAUGAGCUAAAAGAGAUACGCUCAAUGCACGUUUUGUUGUCUGCUCUCUGUUGUGUGUUGAAGCGCAUUAAACUAUAUGCUAAUAUUGACACAUAGCAUUCACUUAUUGCCACAUUUUUUAUACUCUCUUGGCCUGUUCAGUAUUCCCUUUAAAAGGUGCGAUCUCUGUGUGCUUCACCAUUAUAUUUUGAUACUGAACUUCUGUACUUUUCUAGAUGGAUGAAUGGACAGCAUUUAAGAUCAUUUCCACCAGAUGAACUCAUCAAGGCUUUAGAAGAUCGGUGGAAGAAAACAUGCAUUCUCCAAGAAUCUGAAAGUGGUUUUGCUAAGGUAAAAUUCUCUCUCCCGUGCACCUGGGGUGCCUCUAUAUUGGAAGUACAUGUUAAAGGGUUAUAUAUGCCAAAGCAUCCAACACACUAUUUGGUUCCAGUAGCAGUUCUUUUUGACAAUUACUAUGGUAAGCAUAAUAAAGCUACCAAGAAGAGAGUAAUUAGGAUUAUAUGCUAUCUGAAAAGUUACUUCUUAGGAAAACACUAAUUUUGCUAUACACAACUGUACUCAGGAAGCUGCCGAGCUUUUGAAGGAUGGUAUUGAUCUGAUAACAGAGGCUGAUGCAGCUCUUACAAAUUUGUUGUCAUAUCCCCUUCAUGCUACUUUAAGCAGGUUCGUAAAAACAAUAUACUGGAUUAAUUUUAUUGGCUUGUGGUUCCUGUUUUAUUCCCUACAGCUUCCUUGCACAUGGUUGGCAAUGUGGUCAUCUUGAUAAAUUCCGAUGAUUAAGUUGUUUGUUGUGCUUGGCCAGCUUCACUAAAUGAACUACUCGUGUUUGUAUUCUCCAGUGAUGAAGCUAAACCUGUGGUGCAAGACAAGAUUUCCGAGGUUGCUUCGGGUCUUAUUUCUGCAUACGAUAGCGGUGAACUCACUCAAGCACUAGCUGAAGGCCGUGAUGGUUGGCAAAAGUGGGUGAAAGGUUUUGGCAAAUCUCUAAAAAGAAAGGUCCGUUGUGACUCUGUAACUUCCUUUUUUCUUCUGUUGUGCUUUUGACUUUGUUACCACUGGAUCGGUGACUUCUUCUGCAAGUGACCUGUCUCACCUGAACAAUGAUGUCAGGAAUCAUGAAAUUGCAGCAGAAUCAUUUGAUGCAAACCUUUACAGAGAGUUCUAACAAGCUUUUAGCAGCAAACUUAUUAGUAGCAAACAUUUGACACGCUGUAUCUUUUUCUUGCAUCCAUCUGUGACCAGGGCAAAGGGCUCUUUAUGCCGCUCCGAGUACUGUUGACCGGGAAGCUUCAUGGGCCUGAUAUGGGUGGCAGCAUCGCCCUUAUACACAAAGCUGGCAUCUGUGGAGCGGUGACUCAGUCGAAUUUUGUAACUCUAGAUGAGCGGUUCAGGAUUCUCAAGGAGGUUGACUGGGAAUCGCUGGUGAAGGAGCAUGAGUCCCCUGCUGAAUCAGCUGUCCCCGCUGCUUCAUAGAAGAUAGAUCGUGCUUGUAGGUGAUUGUAUCAGUCAGUGGUGAGUUUUGUUACGGGCAAUGUUGAGCCUGAGGAGUUUUGCCCAUUUUUCCUGUAUUUUGGCUGACUGGAGCUCCACCCAGUGGCAGUUCAGUGGUUAAUAAUGCGGAAUUUUGAUCUUAGGUUGAUUCUGUAAUGGACAAUGUUGAAUGAUUAGGUGAGACGAGGAUCUUGUUUUCUAGAUCUUCAUAAGGGCCGCCCUUUUUUGGCGUGCUGUUCCUAAACAUGGUAUGAGAAUUAGUCUGGGCCACGAAGGAUUGAAUUACUGUGUUCAUCGCAAGAGCUGAACCUUGUUUCUCUCAUCUCGGUGUGGCAUGCUUAUGAAACCAACCUUUUCAAUUACCAUCAGCUGGCCAAAAUGUUAAACUCUGUGUGUGUGUGUGUGGGGGGGGGGGGGGGGGGGGGGGGGCGGGUGGGGCGGCCGCUCGCACCACCGGCAAAACGCUCACGGGGAGGGCGCAGCCGGUUGUUUUGAAUCCCAAAAUGCAUGAAAUUUGUCUGCCCCAUCCACCUAUCUUUUAAUCUAACUGUCCACCUUCUACAUCCUCCUGAUCCCUUUCUUUCUUCCACUUUACAUAUAACACCAUUCUAUUGCGCGUGUUCACGUCACUUCAUUUUAGUUGGUCAUAUUUUCACACCCUAGUAUCCUACCGACUAAUCAUCUCUACCCCACCCACAAUAAUCAUCACCGCCGAGUCAAUCUUCCUUCCGCCAAUCUCUACUACCUAUACACUCACCAUUUUUACUAUGGAACCGGUCUAUCUUACGUUAAUCCUUGCAUGGUUUAUGCACCCACCAGCCACCUCUAUCGUCGAGCUGAUUUUCCUUCCGAUUAUCUCUCUCUAUGUCAUCGUGUCACCAAGGGAGGCUCGAAUCUUGCUGGAAUAUAAGGAUCUCUAUGUCAUCGUCUCAUCGAGGGAGGUCGGAUCUUCCAAUAUCCAUGUCAUCGUCUCAUCGAAGGAGGCUCGGAUCUUAUCAGGAUAUAAGAAAACAAAGAAUAGAGAGAAGAAAGAAAACUUAUUAUUGACGAGAAAGAAAACACAUGAUAUCAUUAGAUUUCAUUUUUUUUCUUGAUUACUUCUCGUUACAGAUAGAUAGACCUUAAACCCUCGUAGACCCUUGUUAUUGUGGUGCUUGGAGAAGCGUGCCACGCUACACAAUUUGUGCCCCCUCUUUCCGCAGGCAACUUUUUGCGCUCUCGCCUAUUCUUCCCCAGCGAAAACCUCGCCGCCGCCGCCGCCGCCGCCGCCGCCUCGUCCCCCGCAGCGUCGGGGCCCUAAACCCUAGGCAUGGCGUCCUCCAUACUCUCCGACUGCUCCUCCGCCCGCCUCCUCCCUCUCCGCCGCGCGCUCCUCCCGCAGCGGGUGCCCCGCAUCCGCCCCUGCCCGGCUCUAGCUUCCUCCAGGCGCCUCUUCGCCGCCGCCCGACCGCAGCUGCUCCCGCGCCCGCCCCGCAUGGAUUCGGUGCCCGCCGCCGCCGCCUCCUCCGCUGAGUCAGGUGCGCAUCCUCAGGCAUGCUAACUUCAGAUGAUGUUUCCACCCCCGUACACUUGAUACGCUAGUGUGUAUUGUCUUCUGUCGAAUUUUGGGCAAGGAUUGUGACGUGGGGGAAGGUGAAAAGCCUUUAGAUAGAUUCUGCUAGUGUGGAGAAAUUUAGGUGAUGCUAAAAAUGAAACCGAGAAUUUCCCUGGAAGGAAUGGCUAUUUAUCAGUUUAGAUGUAGCAAUAAGUGAAACGUCGAAACGAUCAAUAUUGUUCUGGCAUGUGUAAGAUUUAAAUAUUUAUUUAAAUCUUACACUACUUUGUGUCACCCUGACUAUAUUUUUUUUUGUUAUCUUCACGUGUAGCAACCGUCGCAGCUGAUGCAUCUGCCAAAGUGAUUGAUGGGAAGCUAGUGGCGAAGCAAGUGAGAGAAGAAAUAGCUGUUGAGGUCACCAAGAUGAAGGAUGUGAUCGGCAUAGUGCCUGGCCUGGCAGUCAUUCUUGUUGGAUCAAGGAAGGAUUCACAAACUUAUGUGCGGAACAAGAAGAAAGCGUGUGAAGCGGUUGGUAUAAAGUCGUAUGAGGUCAACUUGCCAGAGGACAGUUCCGAGGAGGAGGUUAUCCAGCACAUAGCAAGCUUUAAUAGUGACCCAUCUGUGCAUGGCAUCUUGGUUCAGCUGCCGUUACCUCGGGUGAGUUUGCGAUUGUGGUUACUCUAUUGGCUACUGUAGCUAUAUAACCAACAAAAUAGGAGUCAAGAACUGCAUUUUGCCUCCUAACAACUGCCACCUGGAAUAUUCACGUUUUAUUUUAUUUUGCUUGUUAAUGAUUGUCUACCUGGACAGUAUAUGGCAUAAGAGGGUAAUAUGUUUUAUGCGUACUAUCCGGUUAAAUCUUCUUGAAUGGUAGAGUUUUGCAACAGAGUCCAAAUGUUUCCAUGUCUUGUCUUGGAAGUGUUAAAAUCAGCCCUCUGGUUAAUUGAUUGAACGGCAGAGUUUAACAAUAGAGCCCCAAAUGUUUCCAACUUUCCAUUCACUGAUGUCCUUGAAGUGUUAAAAGUAGUCCUCUGGUUAAUUUUGAAAAAAUAAACUUAGGAUGGUACACUGUCUAAUGAGUCGUGUAUUAUGUGGUGUUGCAAGUAAGUUGUCUUCAUUCUUAGCAGUAUCGUACUCUGUGCAGAAGCUUUAACUUUAUUUGCAUGCUACUAGAUACUACAUUAGUUGCAGUAGCAAAUGUGAGAACAUUUUUCAAGUGCUUUUAGUAUCAAGGAGUACAUGGCUUUCAUCAACCAGUGACAUUUCUGUUGUGAAAUUAUUUGCAGCAUAUGAACGAUGAGAACGUUUUGAAUGCUGUCAGUAUUGAAAAGGAUGUUGAUGGCUUUCAUCCCCUGAACAUUGGACGACUUGCGAUGCAAGGUCGAGAUCCAUUCUUUGUUCCUUGCACCCCAAAAGGAUGCAUGGAGUUGCUGCACAGAUAUGGAGUUGAAAUAAAAGGGAAGAGAGCUGUCGUAAUCGGAAGAAGCAAUAUUGUUGGGAUGCCUGCUGCAUUGUUGUUGCAAGUAUGAACUGAUUCUUCUUUAUUUCUAAUAGUUGGAGCAAUUUUAUUGUGGUGUUCAAUUAAUCCAUCUUUAUAUGUUUAUCAGAAAGCAAAUGCAACUGUCAGCAUUGUGCAUUCACAAACUAAGAACCCUGAGGAAAUAACAAGACAGGCGGAUAUAAUCAUCGCAGCUGUUGGAGUUGCGAACUUGGUCAGAGGGAAUUGGAUAAAAUCUGGAGCAGCUAUUAUUGAUGUUGGCAUCAACCCAGUUGAUGUAAGACACCCUUUUCAUAAAUUACUAGUAGCAUAUUGCUAUUUUAUGUUAUUUCUAUCGUUUUCUUGUUUGUGUCACUCCUUUUGGGUUUCAUCUCUAGUUUACCCCUGCGCUUGGGGGACUUGAAGGCUUUACUGUUGUUCUGAAUACCUUUACCUUUUUUUUUCUGUCUGUUCAUUUGAUGUUCAAGAAAUCUAGUGGCUUUAACGGGAUGCAUAUUUCUAAAUGGGAGCAGAAGACUGUAUCAACUACAAAUUCCAGAUACUAGAUUUUAUGUGAUCUACAUGACCUGCUGAUGUACCUGUGAUUUUGUUUUAGUUUCUUUGUUUUUCCUGGGCACCUUUGUUAUUACAUCUGGUUCAGAUAUGCAGAACUUUUACAUUUUGGGAUUUGGUGGUGGGGUGGGGUGGGGGUUCCACUGUCUUCCUGUCAUCGAUCAAAUCUAGAAAGGGCCUACUUAUUCUUGUGGUCCCCCAUUCAGAAUUCAUUUAUUAAUACUUAAAUUGGCUUCUUAAAUUUAUGAGCCCCAUGUUAGAGUGUUCCAGGUUAUAUUUCUUCACAUUGUAUUAUAUGCAUGUGCAGCAUGUGAUGAUCAAUCAAUUAAUACUCUUUAUAUUGAUUUGUCCUAUCCAUGAGCCAUCUUUCAGUGGCUAUUGCCUCUUUUCCAAGCCCUUUGCGGCUUCAUAUUGCUUUUCUUGCUUGAUAUGUUUACUAAUGAUUUACUGAUUGGGAAUGCUGCAGGACCCAGAAAGCCCUCGGGGUUAUAGGCUCGUCGGAGAUGUCUGUUACGAGGAGGCCUCCAAGGUUGCUGGAGCGAUCACACCGGUUCCUGGUGGUGUUGGGCCGAUGACCAUUGCAAUGCUUUUGUCAAACACACUUGAGUCAGCUAAAAGAAUCCACAAUUUUAAAUAACUGCAGAAUCCAACAGAAAGAAGUUUGGAUGGGUGCCUAACGUUUGAUGUAGACUACAAGCAAAGGGUUUGCUCAACUGUUUUCUGUGUCUUCUGUUGGACCAGAAAAGUGCAACAGGAGCCCUAAAAAAAUAAAUUUUGACACAGAUGAGAUAUGUAUCCCGGCUUGAUACAGUAUUGUAUUUGAUAAUGUGCCAUGGAACCAUACCUUUGGCACCAGUAGAAUCAGGUGAAUCUGAGAUGUCAGUAAGUCGAGGUGUCAGUAAGCUGGGAUGAAUGUUGCUGCAUGCAUCAGACCAAAUCAGCAAAAUUUGUUUCCAUGUCUUGACUGUGACUGGUGGGUGCCAUUGUCGAUGUGGGAUAAUGCUGACAAGCGCUCCAAUCUAAUCUGUCCAGUUGGAUCCUGUAUUUUAUUAGCUGUCUGCACCCAUUUUUUUAUGUGUGGUACACUGCACUGCACACACAUGAUGGUGUAUUUGGUUCUUCCCAACUGCUCCCUUCUCACAGCUGGAUGGGGUUUGCUGUUUGUUUAUGAGAAUUGUUUGUCAGCCUGUUCGCUUCAGCUUAUCAGCCAUCGAACAGUGUUUUUCUCUCAUAACAAAUUAGCCGUUUCAGCUUUUCAGCCGGCUUAUAAGUCCAGCCGAACAGAUCGUGUCAUGUGAAUUACUAGUACUACAAUUUUGAAUCAAAUGGAAUGUACGAUUUAGACCGUGUCAUGUGAAUUACUAGUACUACAAUUUUGAAUCAAAUGGAAUGUACGAUUUGUGUGGCGUAGCUCUUGGUCUAUUCAUUAAGGCACCAGCCAAAUACGCGCUAUUUUUAUCUUGUAUAUGCAUCAUGAUUUCAAAGUUUUAAACUAAGCAUUAUCCGUAAUCUUAGUUCAUACAUCAUAGCAGAUGGAUGUCCAGCGCUGGAAUCUUCUUCUGUGGCAACAAACAAAUCUUCUGGACAUUCUCGAUGGUGUUACCUGCUGGUUGUUGGAUACAGUACGUAUACGUAGUACUCCCUCCGUUCCAAAUUGCAGAUCGUUUUAAUUUUUUUAGUUCAUAUAUAUUAUUAUGCACUAGACGUACACUAUAUCUAGAUGCGUGAACCUAAAAACUAAAACGACAUACAAUUUGAAACGGGGAGAGGAGCAUCUUUUAUGCUGCAGAAACGUUUACCUAAACGCAGUGGCAGUUGAGUCGUUCCCUGGAAGAAGAAGCAAGAAUGCCUAGCGCCUAGGUGACCCCAAAUGAAAGGCACAAUAAAAUAAAUUGUGUGUAUUGUGUGGGCAGUUGGUAGGUGACCCUAAAUGAAAGGCACAAUAAAAUAAAUUAUAUGUAUUGUGUGGGCAGUUGGUAGACACAUAUAAAAGGAAAAGAUUGGGAUGAUUAGGGAAAAGACAUCAUCAAGAGGAGGAGACAGUAGGGCAGUUGGAGAAUGCCCUUAAGUAGCAUUUGGGAAAUGGCUGUGGCUUAAUGGCUUUCGUUGCUGAAUAUACGUCAUCUGGAAGCAUGCAUUCUAGCCUAUCGUGCCUAGGUAUCAAUAUCGUAAUGUUUCCACUUCUUUUAGAUGAAAAAUCUCAAGCGAACGGCGCGCAUUGAACUCAGAAAAUAAUUGCCAUCCAGAAUCUCCAAUGGCGAGUGAGAUCUUUUUGGAAAGAAGGAAAAGAAAAGAAAAGGAAAACUCACCUUCCUACGUAACACUAUCAUGCGUAUAAGCUCUUCUACAAAUUUUAAAUGGGAGAUAUGAGGAUGUGAUGUGUAUCCUAUAUCACGCCUUGUUAUUUUAAUCUUGCUCCCACAUCUAAUAUGAACUGUAUAUGAUACGGACGCUCGAAUAAUACAUUGUUAUCUCUAUCCCGACAUUUUUCUCGCUAUAUUCAACCAAACUUGUCGUCGAAUUUACUUCCACUCUCAGCGUGCUAAUUUGCUUAUCCGUGGACGCGUAUUUGCACCGAUCAUCCCCUCUCACACGGAUGGAUAGUGCCCUAUUGUUUCGCCUCCAUGUCUACUAUCCUCCUCCAUUGUCCAAACUAGAACAAGGGGACACAAGGCCCCCUAUCUCUUGGAGCUUUUCGAGGAGAAGGUAGAGGUAGAAAAAAAAAUUCUUAUAUUUGCAACAAUUAUGUACAACAUUUCUUCUUCAUCACCAUCUGUGAUGAGAUCUUGAAAUUGAAAGAUGAGAGUUGAAAAUGAAAGAUGAGAGAUGAGAAAGAGAGAACGAACAUAAAGCUGAUAAGAAAUAUCCAAAUAAGUUUAGAACUAUCUCAUGUGCACCAUAUACUAAUAUACCACGUUCUUUCCGCACGAGAACGAGUCCUCUGAAACUAACAUCAAGAGUUCGAGACACUCACGACCAAGCGUUGCCACGACAUUCUUUACUUAACUACUUCUAAUUGACUAAUAAUUUCGAUUAAUUCGUGCAAUAAUAAUAACAGAGCAUAGGAGGUGCGAGGUGUGGCCGCGUAAGGGCAGUAAUAAUACCCCGGGGGCAGGGGCAGGGCAGCAGGGAGGGGGGCAAUAAAGAAGGAAAUGAUGCGCGCGCACACCGUGGCCACCCCCUCUCUCUCCUCUCUCUCUCUCUCUCUCCUCAAGCCCUCCACCACCACCACCCACCGUUCCGGCGCGGAGACCGCUUCCCUUCCCCCACCCCCGCAACCCUCUCCUCCCCCGCCCGCCUCCUCCGCGCUUCCCUCCAUUUGUCCGCGCCCCGCUCCCUCCCGAUCUUAACCACCCGCCGCGCGCUCCCGCCACCCGGCUUCCUCUGGUCCGCCCUCCUUCCCCCCCCUCCCUCACCACCAAAACGCUCGGCUGCCCCCAACUUUCCAUCUCUCUUCUUCUUGUUCCCCCCAGAGGACGCGGAGGAGGAGGAGGAGGAAGAAGAAGCAGGAGGCCUGCCUCUCCCCCCCUGCACCGGUAGCAAGAGGAGGAGGGAGGGCGGAAGAGGAUGAGCGCGUCCAGGUUCAUAAAGUGCGUCACGGUCGGGGACGGCGCCGUCGGCAAGACCUGCAUGCUCAUCUCCUACACCUCCAACACCUUCCCCACCGUACGCCCACUUCCCCCUUCCCUCUCCUUUUUUUUUUCACUCAUUAUCUGCAAAGAUUUCCUUGUCCCUUUUUUUCUGCCGGGAUUUUGGUCUCGAUUGGGAAAAAAUGUGGAAUUCCGGCCGCAUUCUUGAUCUGGGUGCUGGAUUUGUGGGACAAAUCGGGGGAAAUCAAACGCCGUUGUGGCUGAUUUGCCCCGCGCCUGCUAAUUUGUCCCUAGUUACGACAAUGCGGCUGCGAAUUGCUGCAAUCUUUUCAUGGUUAGGGUUGGGUCGCGUACCACAGCAGCUGCCCGUUCGUCACAGAGAAAGGGGAUCUUUUCUGCGCUAUUCCCAAAUCAGACCCGAAUCGGCGCCUUUAGCACGCUAGGGUUGGGGGGAAUCGCCCCCGGCGAGUCUCAAAUUUGAAAUUUGUUUACAAAUUACUUCAUUUAUAGGAGUUGCUAAAAAAUUGGGGGAAAUGUAGAUUCCCUCGCCAAUCUCCGCCCCCACCUCUUGAUCCGUUUCGACCAGACCAGGAUCGCUUUCCCGACUUUUUAGUUACCCUGCCUGCCUGUACCCUCCUCCGCCACCCACGCCUUCCGUGUGGUUGGUGAAAUGGAUUGCCAUUGUCUCACUUCACGCAAUUCCACACUGGUUGUUGCAACAAAAGCAUCGCUAGCUUUUCACGCAUGCUUCCUUUUCCUACAGUAAAUAUAGUAUUCCUCUUUACGAAAGUUUUUUUUGACCAUGUAGUAGCAUAUCCAUAGCACUGGAGAUUUUUUUCGAGAGAAGAUGCGAUUUUGAUUUUCACGCGCGCUUUGUGGUAGAUUAGCUUGGAGCCCUGAGUAAGUGUGACCACGGACUAGUAUAUCCGCAGGACCACGGUGGACCGCCCUCCAUGCUCGUGGAGGGUCUAAUGACAAACUUUUCUAGUUGCUUUUCGUUUAAUGCGGGGAUGCUUUGUGCCUUCAUUCCCUCUUGUUCUCUUCCAUGGGCUUGUGCCCAUUUUUCAGCUUAUGAUUUAGUUGUGCAUUUAGUGAUAUGUUAUGUGUGUACUUACUGUUGUCACCAUUGCUUUGCCAGGACUAUGUUCCGACGGUGUUUGACAACUUCAGUGCGAACGUUGUGGUUGAUGGUAACACUGUCAACCUCGGGCUAUGGGAUACUGCAGGUGACUAGCUAUCUGUCUUGUUUUGCUACUUAUGGCGCUCCCCCCCCCCCCCCCCCCCUGAUUCAAGGUGGUUAAACUUCGUCUUGGGAACUACAACAGGUCAAGAGGAUUACAACAGACUGAGACCACUGAGCUAUCGUGGAGCUGAUGUUUUCCUUCUGGCCUUCUCACUGAUCAGUAAGGCUAGUUAUGAGAAUGUUUCAAAGAAGGCAAGACACUGAUUCUUAUUUUCUCUAUUUCUUUUUGUUUGAGCUACCUGUUACUUUAUGCCGUUUUCUAUGGACAUCGUUGUUUUUAGAUCAUUUAUGUGAUAGUCUUCAUUUAGCUGAUUUGUGAUAACCUCCAUUGCUCUGAUUUGUCCAUCACAUUCUGAGUGAUUGUUUUUUUCAGUAAAGAAAUUCUACUAUAUUGUCUGGAAACACAUUUCCAAAAUCAAUUUCUGGAUAGGAUUUAAUACAGAGAUGGUUUCCAAACUUAAAUAUCUUGACUUCUUGUCUACUGACUCCAAACCCUUUCCAUUUUUCAGUGGAUACCUGAACUGAAGCAUUAUGCACCCGGUGUGCCAAUAAUUCUCGUGGGGACAAAGCUUGGUAAGAAUGAUGCAGUCCUAAACUUUGAGAAAUCCAUCCUUCUGUGCUUGUAAGGUUCAUUAUGUUAAUUUUUGAGGGAAGAAGUUGUUGGUGGUUGUUAUUUUGAUAACAAUAAAAUUGCAUGAAUUUGGCCGUGUUGUUAUAAUAUCAUGUGAUGACAAAGUCUGUACACUAUAAAAGCAUGGCUGCUACCCGGAUUGCAAAUAUUGUAUAUAUACCUGUCUGAAUUGACUGUUUAGUUUCUGUUCCUGUUUUUUUUGAAACUAAUGCAACAGCUAAUGGUUAGCUGCCCCUCAGUUUGCUGUUGUCCUGUUGGGUUCAGCGAUUUUUUCUUCUUCUGGUUUCCGUAGUGCUUAUAAUAUUUAACUAGUGGCAUAACUUCUAGAUAACCCAUGUAUGCAUAAUGCUACAGAUUGCCAGCUGCACUGUAUCUCACAUUUUCACAAUGUGCAUUGCACUAACAGAUCUUCGAGAUGACAAGCAGUUCUUUGUGGACCACCCUGGUGCUGUUCCUAUCACUACUGCUCAGGUAUGGCUUACUGCCUUGUUUGCCCUUAUGAGUAUUAGAUAAAUGCUUGUACAUCUAGUGAGUUUUGUCAAGUUUGUCCUGAUUUUCUUCUUGCCCAGUCACUGUUGUCUAACUCACAUUGUUACCUUGCCACCUGUAGGGAGAGGAGCUAAGAAAGCAAAUAGGCGCGCCAUACUACAUCGAAUGCAGCUCAAAGACCCAACUAGUAUUGUUAUCUGCUCAAUCAUCUUCUGAUCAUGCAAUAUCAUGUGAGAUACUAACAGGCUUUCUCUUUUGUUUCCACCUGAAUUGCAGAACGUAAAGGGUGUCUUCGAUGCGGCGAUAAAGGUUGUGCUGCAGCCACCCAAGGCGAAGAAGAAGAAAAAGGCGCAGAGGGGGGCGUGCUCCAUUUUGUGAUCUAAUCAUCAGUAGACAAAGAAACAAGGGCGAAGUUGCCAUGGUUUAUUAUCGUCGCGUCUUGCUUCAGCGAAACAGCAUUGGUGGGUCCCCCUAGGUUUACUGGCAGCUGCAGCAAGUUCUUCUCUUUGUCGAGGCAUUGAGCGAUCCGUUUGUUUCAUUUCCUCCUUCCUGCCUUGUGAUUAUGUGGGUGUGACUGACAAGUCGUGGCAAUUAGGUAACUUGCUUAGAAGGUAUUUCCCGUGUUUGAGCAAAAAAAUAUCUUGUUAUCUCUGUUCCAUAAGUAGACAUGAUGUAAUCGUACUAAGUUUAUUUUUACUUAUUUCACUUCAAUGGAAAAUUAUGCUUCCCUUCACAUGAUGGUCAUGCCUGUACGCCAAUGCAUUCCUAAAGAAUGCCUUCCUGUCAUGUUUACUGCAUUUUGUUUGGCAAAUGGAGCAUCCUAGUGGUUUGACUUUGCUCAUUUGGAUACAACAAUGAUCCCAAGGUUUACAGCUUGCACUGGUAUUAUAGUAUGUGGUACCAUGUAGAUCAUGGAGAGCAUGUUUGCAAGUAGCAGUUGCAACAGAAGAAUAUCCAUUCGUCUGAUACGAUAUCAGAAGGUUACAGACCUUAAAAACCAGUAUUAUCUUUAGAAAGCCAUGUGGACAGGGCAACAACUUCUUCCUAUAGCCGGGGAAUGUGGUGCUGCACACGUCCAGGUUCCAAAGAUUUGAGUAGGAUUUGGAUGGUUUCAUCAACGUGUGCUUCGUUUGGUUGAUUCUUUCCACCACAUUUCAGUGUGAAACUUGCUGGUGCAGCAGCAGACUGGAACCAAUUUGUUUUAGGGAACCAUUUCACUCUUCCAUUUUUGUUGUCACGUGCCAUUGCUUGAAAUAAAGUGUUGGGGGCGAAGAACGGUACGCUGGAAACCCUUGCGUUGGUUUCUGUUCUAAUGGAGCGUCUUGCAAAGAACCGAGGCAAAAUGCAAAAUCAGCACCAGAGCUAAUAAGAACAAAAAAAAAUUAAAACAAAAAACAAUUUCGAGCGACAAGGAAACCUUAAAUCCUAUUAUGCUGUGUACAAUUACGUACUUGUCCCCGAGCAAUGCAGUGAGUGGAGGGGUGUUUCGGUACUUUCCUAUGACGGAUUAGCAAAAAAAAAGUUCCGUUGCCGGCUUUCGAACCCGGGUCUCUCGGGUGAGAGCUAGACUACAACGG